rnacentral:lncRNA from 1 species
AACCAUGCUAAUUUCAGACAAAGCCAUGCCGAGAUUAAGAGUUACCCAAAUUCUCUUCCCUAAAAAUAAAGUUGUAUGGCGUUCCCCUUGUGGCUCAGGAUCGAACCCGCAUCCUCAUGGUUCCUAGUCAGAUUCGUUAACCACUGAGCCACACAGGAACUCCUGAUGCUUCUCUCUUUAAACUCAUUUCCUUAUUCGUAACCAUCCUAAGAAUAUUUCCUUUCUGCCCCUUUGACUUUACUGUCGAUAUUUGCCCACAGUGUUUGUCAGCGUGCGGCACCCAGUCUGCCUCAAGGUUUUCCCUCUUCUCCUGUCCUUCUGUUGAUAACUGGGCCGUUCUGCUUGCUCAUUUCAUUUUGCCGUCAAGGGAUCUUUCGUGAAUGGCAUCAGAGCACGUAUGUCUAACAGGCUUCCAAAAUCCAUGUGGCCCUUGAACCUGAGGCACAGAGUAAGGGUGUGUUUAUUCAGGGCCACCGUGAAUGAAACUUAAGGUUAAACCUCAGCUUUCAUUAAAUGACUUUGUCUGUAGACAUGCAUUUCCAUGUAUCAGGAGAUACGGAAAUGAAGAAGCUGCUGCACUGCAGUUUUAGUAAAAACCGUAACAAAAAACGACAGACCGUCCAACUGCAGAGCCGGUAGUGGCUCUAAACCUCUUAGGCCUUUUAGAGGCAUCAAAGGAGUCUGUGCGUUUCGCUUCAUUCUCUUGUUCACUAGGGACUAACUUGUAGCAUGUUACAUUGAAUUGAUUGAUUAUAUGGACUUCUUUUAGUUAGCUGUCAUAAAUUAUUUUGUUUUUUAAAAGCACAAUUAGUACAGACUGUUAAAUAUCUAAGUAGCCCUAAUAUCCCUAGGAAGGUGAACAGCAGGAUAUUGACAUGUCAUUAAUGCCGUAAACAGUGGAAGUUUUAAAAUGAGAAAUAAAUAUGCAUUAAUUUAAAACAUCUACUGUAACUUUAACACACUGAGAUUAUAUUAACUGUAGUCUGUAGUAUUGAAUACAAUCCUGAUGGCAAAGGAUAAUUUAGUCCAAAGCGGGAUUUUUCUUAUAAGGGUCCAAGGAGUUCAAGCCAUUCUGGUCUUUCAACUAAGAGUUAAGAUUCUUGAGUGCUGAUAUAGUAUUUUCUAUGUCCACUACUGACGUAACGGAUUAUUCCAUGUUUGCCUCUGUAUACCAAACGUUUACUAGGGAUCACAUCUUAAGGUUUCACUUACAUUGUGAAACAACAAAAAGGCUUCAUUAUCACAGAGCUUCUAUUAACUUCAGCAGAAUAAUUUGCAGCAUCUAAACCGUUGAGAAAUGCAUCCCAAUAAUAUAUUUAGAAGGGCUGAGAAAUAAGAAUUGUGGAAAUGGCUCUUCAGCCUAAAUUCAUUAGGGAUCAAUUAGCCAUGUUGCAAUUCACUUAAUUUUCUGCUUUCCACACUGAAUUAGUCAUGUGAAUUAGUUAACAGCCCAGCCACCACUGCCAGACCAGCUAGCACCGAGACUCCUCUCCCUCAUCAAUACCCCAUGUUAGGGAGUUCCUGUCGCAGCUCAGCAGUAACAAACCCAACUAGUACCCAUGAGGACGCAGGUUCGAUCCCUGGUCUCAGUGGGUUAAGGAUCUGGCAUUGCCCUGAGCUGUGGUGGAGGUCGCAGAUGUGUCUUGGAUCCCCUGUUGCGGUGGCUGUGGUGUAGGCUGGCAGCUGUAGCUCCAGUUCGAUCCCUAGCCUGGGAACUUCCAUGUGUCACAAGUGUGGCCUUAAAAAGACACACACACACAAAUACUCCAUGUUGGCUCAGAUUGUACAUCAAAGCACCAAGUAGAAAUCAGCCCUCAGCCAGAUGUGCCGCACUGGGCCUAGUGAAGUAAUACUCCGUGUCAAUCCCGAUGUCGACAAGGCCAGUAUUAAUUGUCCGUAUCAAUAAUAAAGCCAGUUCAAAGUAUAGCUCUUUUUUUCCCCCCCCAGUUGUUUGGCUGCACCCACAGCUUGUGAAAGUUCUUGGGCCAGGGAUCGAACCCAUGCCACAGCAGCUACCUCAGGUGCUGCAGUGGCAGUGCCAGAUCCUUAACCUGCUGCACCAUGAGAGAACUCCCACGGCAUAUCUCCUUGAGUAUAGCAGGUACUCAGUCAGUGUUUUAUCAAAUUGAAUUAAAUUAACAAAGUGCUUCCAGUGAGGGCUUGAAAUCUGCCACUCUUCUUCCAUUUGCUGAGUUGGCUGGUAAAUCUUUGUCUCCAAAUGAGCCAACCCUUUCUUAUUCCUGCAGGUACUGCCAUUCUCUUUCCUCCUCGCUUAUUUCAAGCAUUGUUAGUAAAAGUUAUCUUACAAAGCACAGGAAAAUUCCUCCCAAGUCAUCCAUUUAUCUUUGAUAAGAAUUUCCCUUAGAUUCCCUGGUGGCCUAGUGGUGAAGGAUUUGGUGUUGUCAUUGCUGUGGCUCGGGUUCCCCUGGUCCAGAUAUUCUUGCAUGCCGUGGAUGCAGCCAAAAUAAAAAAUGAAGAGAGUACCCUGAUAGCCUAGCCAUUAGGACUCAGUGUUGCUGUGGCUUGGGCUACUGCUGUGGCUCUGGUUUGCAAAAAAAAAAAAAAAA